AUUGAAUGCUGGCGGAAUGCUUUACACAUGCAAGUCGAACGGUAGAGGGGCAACCCUUGAGAGUGGCGAACGGGUGAGUAAUGUAUCGGAACAUGCCCAGUCGUGGGGGAUAACGUAGCGAAAGUUACGCUAAUACCGCAUACGAUCUACGGAUGAAAGCGGGGGACUCGCAAGAGCCUCGCGCGAUUGGAGUGGCCGAUAUCAGAUUAGGUAGUUGGUAGGGUAAGAGCCUACCAAGCCGACGAUCUGUAGCUGGUCUGAGAGGACGACCAGCCACACUGGGACUGAGACACGGCCCAGACUCCUACGGGAGGCAGCAGUGGGGAAUUUUGGACAAUGGGCGCAAGCCUGAUCCAGCCAUUCCGCGUGCAGGAAGAAGGCCUUCGGGUUGUAAACUGCUUUUGUACGGAACGAAACGCGCUAGGUUAAUACCCUGGCGUAAUGACGGUACCGUAAGAAUAAGCACCGGCUAACUACGUGCCAGCAGCCGCCGUAACAC
rnacentral:rRNA from 1 species